rnacentral:rRNA from 1 species
GCCCUUGUUGAUCCUGCCGGACCUGACUGCUAUCGGAUUGAUACUAAGCCAUGCGAGUCUUUGCAGUAAUGCAAGGCAUACGGCUCAGUAACACGUAGUCAACUUACCCUAUGGACGAGGAUAAUCUCGGGAAACUGAGCAUAAUACUCGAUAGAUCAUAAUGCCUGGAAUGGUUUAUGGUUGAAAUGAUUCGUCGCCAUAGGAUGGGACUGCGGCCUAUCAGCUUGUUGGUGAGGUAAUGGCCCACCAAGGCGAUUACAGGUACGGGCUCUGAGAGGAGAAGCCCGGAGAUGGGUACUGAGACAAGGACCCAGGCCCUAUGGGGCGCAGCAGGCGAGAAAACUUUGCAAUGUGCGAAAGCACGACAAGGUUAAUCCGAGUGAUUUCUGCUAAAGAAAUCUUUUGCAAGUCAUAAAACCACUAGUGAAUAAGGGGUGGGCAAGUUCUGGUGUCAGCCGCCGCGGUAAAACCAGCACCUCAAGUGGUCAGGAGGAUUAUUGGGCCUAAAGCAUCCGUAGCCGGCUCUGUAAGUUUUCGGUUAAAUCCAUGUGCUCAACAUAUGGGCUGCCGAAAAUACUGCAUAGCUAGGGAGUGGGAGAGGUAGACGGUACUCGGUAGGAAGGGGUAAAAUCCUUUGAUCUAUCGAUGACCACCUGUGGCGAAGGCGGUCUACCAGAACACGUUCGACGGUGAGGGAUGAAAGCUGGGGGAGCAAACCGGAUUAGAUACCCGGGUAGUCCCAGCUGUAAACGAUGCAGACUCGAUGAUGCAUUGGCAUAUAGCCAGUGCAGUGUCGCAGGGAAGCCGUUAAGUCUGCCGCCUGGGAAGUACUA